GGUUGUGGCAAGGUGGUAGAGCGCUUGCCUCCUACGUGAGAGACCCUGGGUUCAAUUCUCAGCACCA
rnacentral:tRNA from 1 species